GACCCCGCCCCACCCAGGCUGCGGCAGAGGCUUUUGCAUAUGAAUGCCCCGGCCAUUUGCAACCUGUAAUUAACCUAACUGCAGCCGGGUCAGACAGACCCA